GAAUUUUGCAUUAUCGUAUGGUGAAUCCCUUCGGGGACAGAAUGACAGGUGGUGCAUGGUUGUCGUCAGCUCGUGUCGUGAGAUGUUGGGUUAAGUCCCGCAACGAGCGCAACCCCUAUUAUUAGUUGCUAACAUUAAGUUGAGCACUCUAGUGAGACUGCCCGGGUUAACCGGGAGGAAGGUGGGGAUGACGUCAAAUCAUCAUGCCCCUUAUGUCUAGGGCUACACACGUGCUACAAUGGGGGGAACAAAAAGAUGCAAUACCGCAAGGGGGAGCUAAACUCAAAACCCCAUCCCAGUUCGGAUUGUAGGCUGAAACUCGCCUACAUGAAGCUGGAGUUGCUAGUAAUCGCGAAUCAUAAUGUCGCGGUGAAUACGUUCCCGGGCCUUGUACACACCAAGG
rnacentral:rRNA from 1 species